GGUCCGUUGGCUUAAUGGCAAAGCGCUUGACUUCGAAUCAAGAGAUUACAGGUUCGACCCCUGUACGGAUCG